GUAUUAUUUUUUUUGGAGUAGGAGAGUGUUAGUUUCAUAAAAUAUAAAGUGGUAAAACAAUUUGAAGGGCAAAGGUGUAGGAAUAUGGCUCAAAUUUUCAAAUUUUUUUAUGUUAUGACUAUAUUUAUUUACCUAUUUCUUGUUUCAACGACUGUUGAUGCGGGUAUGAGAUGUAAUCAUGUCUCUGAUUGUCCAAAAGACACGUUUUGUUGGCUUGAUUCUCAUAUGCAAUGUAUAAAGCACCAAUGUAAAUGUGUUCGAAUCUUUGAGCCGAUAGAUCCCGCAUGAUUCUUUAUUUAGUGUCAGAUCUGUGAGCGUACACAAACAUCUUGAUACAAUAUUUCAUAGGUUGCCAUUUAGUUAUUGUGUUGGCACUCAAUAAUUUGAUUUUUUAUUUUAUUUUAAUAAUUUCAAGUCCAUGUAGUUAUGACUUUGUACUCAAAGAUGGUAGACAUGAAAUGAAAUAAGGCAACAAAUAAUAAUGUGUAAAUAAAUUGUCAUAUUCUCUCUUGAUUUUA